rnacentral:rRNA from 1 species
GUGAGAAUGUCGGCUUGAGUAGCGAAAACAUUGGUGAGAAUCCAAUGCCCCGAAAGCCUAAGGUUUCCUUCGGAAGGCUCGUCCGCGGAGGGUAAGUCAGGACCUAAGGCGAGGCUGAGAAGCGUAGUUGAUGGACAACAGGUUAAUAUUCCUGUACUAUUAAUAAUCAUGGGCAAGGAGUGACGGAGCAGGCUAAGCUAGCCGGAUUCUGGUUACCGGUUUAAACGUUCAAAGUGUUGAUAAAUAGCGAAAAUAUUUUGAGCUGAGACGUGAAUACGUUAUGCUACGGCAUUUAAGUAGUUGAUGUCAUACUUCCAAGAAAAGCUUCCACUGUCAAGUUAUGAAUACCUGUACUGUAAACCGACACAGGUGGGUAAGUAGAGAAUACUAAGGGGCGCGAGAUAACUCUCUCUAAGGAACUCGGCAAAAUAGCCCCGUAACUUUGGGAGAAGGGGUACCUUGAGAAAGGUUGCAAUAAUCAGGUCCAAGCGACUGUUUACCAAAAACACAGGUCUCCGCUAAGUCGUAAGACGAUGUAUGGGGGCUGACGCCUGCCCAGUGCCGGAAGGUUAAAGAAGUCGGUUUUGCUGAUGACUGAAGCCCCGGUGAACGGCGGCCGUAACUAUAACGGUCCUAAGGUAGCGAAAUUCCUUGUCGGGUAAGUUCCGACCCGCACGAAAGGCGUAACGAUUUGGACACUGUCUCGGAGAGGGACUCGGCGAAAUAGACUUGUCUGUGAAGAUGCGGACUACCUGCACCUGGACAGAAAGACCCUAUGAAGCUUUACUGUAACUUGAAAUUGGCUCCGGGUUUUAUUCGCGCAGGAUAGGUGGGAGACUGUGAUCAUAUCUUUGCGGAGACUAUGUAGUCGUUGGUGAGAUACCACUCUUGUAAAACUAGGAUUCUAACUUUGCACCUUACAUCAGGUCAGAGAACAGUUUCAGGUGGGCAGUUUGACUGGGGCGGUCGCCUCCUAAAAGGUAACGGAGGCGCACAAAGGUUUCCUCAGAUCGGUCAGAAAUCGAUUGUAGAGCGUAAAGGCAUAUGGAAGCUUGACUGUGAGACUUACAAGUCGAACAGAGACGAAAGUCGGUCUUAGUGAUCUGACGGUUCUGAGUGGAAGGGCCGUCACUCAACGGAUAAAAGUUACUCUAGGGAUAACAGGCUGAUCUCCCCCAAGAGUUCACAUCGACGGGGAGGUUUGGCACCUCGAUGUCGGCUCAUCGCAUCCUGGGGCGGUAGUACGUCCCAAGGGUUGGGCUGUUCGCCCAUGAAAGCGGUACGCGAGCUGGGUUCAGAACGUCGUGAGACAGUUCGGUCCAUAUCCGGUGUGGGCGUUAGAGUAUUGAGAGGAUUCUUCUUUAGUACGAGAGGACCGAGAAGGACAAACCGCUGGUGUGCCAGUUAUUGUGCCAACAGUAAACGCUGGGUAGCUAAGUUUGGAAAGGAUAACCGCUGAAAGCAUCUAAGUGGGAAGCCCCCCUCAAGAUGAGUACUCUCAUCCUUUUGGAGUAAGGUCACGGCAAGACUAGCCGUUUGAUAGGCAUCAGGUCGAAGUUUAGUAAUAAAUGUAGCUGAGAUGUCCUAAUAGACCGAGGACUUGAAUUA